UAUAACAAUUACUCUAACCCGCACGAUCACCGUCCUAAUUCUCCUAACCUGCAGGAUUACCCGCUACACAAUUUGAAUAGUGUACCGGGAUUGCAACAACACCAAACCAGGUAAGCUUUUGACAGCUCGUGAGUAAAUAAGAAGGGAAUGUUGAUUUUAUAACAUAUGUAUUUUAACUCAAGUAAAAAUCAACAAUCAAAACAUUUGUGAUGAAACAUCAAACAAAACACGGGAAAUCCACAACGAAUACUUUUCCACACUCUUCUAACCACAAUAUCACCACUUUGGUCCAUCCCGACUAUUUGGACCCAACACCAAUAACACGUUAGAUUUCUAACAACCUCGUUAACUGUCACCUCGGUUAAGGCUUAAAUAAACGAUAUACAUCUCAGUUAUUAUUUAACCGGCGUUCUUCGGACUCCCUGUCCUCAGAGCACUACAUCUCGGUUAUUAUUUAACCGGCGUUCUUCGGACUCCCAGUCCUCAGAUGUACACUACAUCUCGGUUAUUAUUUAACCGGCGUUCUUCGGACUCCCUGUCCUCAGAGCACUACAAUUCUACCCUCUAAUCAACUCAGAAGGUCAACAUGAUUAUCACACACAUUUAUCGGUUAACAUCAUCAUAAAUAAUCAUGGCAAUUUCCAAUACAAUAUCAUAUCUCAACCAAAUUAUCGUAAUUCCACACACACCUCAAUGUCACACCAUUCCAUAU
rnacentral:lncRNA from 1 species